GACGAACGCUGGCGGCGUGCUUAACACAUGCAAGUCGAACGAAGUGGCGAACGGGUGAGUAACGCGGAAUCAACCUGCCCUUCAGAGGGGGACAACGGUUGGACACGACUGCUAAUACCGCAUACGGAAGGAGGGGAUUGCGGCUGAUUAGAGAGUGUGAGGGGUACCGGCCCACCAAGGCGAUGAUCCGUAGCAGUUCUGUGAGGAUGAGCGGCCACAUUGGUAGUUGGAGACGACCCAGACUCCUACGGAAGGCAGCAGUGGGAAAUCUUCCGCCAUGGACGAAGGUCUGACUGAGCAACGCCGCGUGAGUGAUGACGGCUUUCGGGUUGUAAAGCUCUGUUAGUCGGGACGCGGUACCGGAAUAGAACGCCACGGCUAACUACGUGCCAGCCGCCGCGGUAAUUC
rnacentral:rRNA from 1 species